GCCAGAGAUUAGUCACAGAGCCACACUUGGCUGAGGUGGGAGGAUCGCUUGAGCCCGGGAGUUCUGGGCUGUAGUGCGCUAUGCCCAUCGGGUGUCUGCACUAAGUUCAGCAUCAAUAUGGUGACCUCCCAGGAGCGGGGAACCACCAGGUUGCCUAAGGAGGGGUGAACCGGCCCAGGUCGGAAACGGAACAGGUCAAAACUCCCAUGCUGAUCAGUAGUGGGAUCACACCCAUGAAUAGCCACUGCACUCCAGCCUGGGCAACAUAGCGAGACCCCACCUCUA
ensembl:misc_RNA Metazoa_SRP Metazoan signal recognition particle RNA